GGUUUUUUGAUGAUCUCCAGAAAAUGCUGAGCAUCACAGAGGAAGCUUCAAGUGAAAAAGGAAACGACACAGCAUCCAAAAACCCCAAAAACCUUCUCCAACUCGCCGAUGCUCCAGUUUGCAUUAGUGUGGGAAUCACUCUGGCAACUGUAGGAAUGGGAGUUUAUGCUUUUUGAUUCAGAACAUUUUAUACUUGUCUGUGUCGUUGUGU